rnacentral:lncRNA from 1 species
CUAAUCACCGUAUUAAUAGGAUCGAUUAUGUUAUAUUUUUUAAUUACUUGUUAAUAGUAUUUUAGGAAUGAUAAUUCAAAUUAAAAUAAAUUCGACAAAAAAAAUCUCAAAAAAAAAAAAAAAAAUCAAAAGAAACCCAGGGAAGGACGAACAGGGGAGAAGUGCUCAGAGAUUCGAGAUCCCCUUGAAACCCAUAUCACAACGAAAAUCACAAACUAAUCCAUCAAACACAAAAAAAUCACAAAUGAUCAAGAAUCACAAAUCCAUCAAAUAAAAAAAAAUCACAAACUAAAGGAAACAAGACAGAGAGAGAAAAAGAGAAAAAAAGAAGAAAAAAAAGGAAAAUUGCAGCAAAAGGAAGACGAUGAAGAUGAAACGAGAAAACACCCAUGAGGAAGAUGAUGCAAUCAGGUGUGAGCAGGAGUGGUUCCGCUGAUUUAGCUCUGAAUCUCCAGAGCAACAGACACGAGAUGACGAAGCAGAUGCGAGAGGGGUGCGAGGCGUUUUGAGGCCGACUAAAUUAUACCGAGCUUUUUGAGCGUACUAACUAGCGGGUGUGAGGCGUACUAAUUAAUUUGGACCGGAUUUGUUAGUUCGGCGACUAUUUAGUACGUAUGUCUCCAAACACCCACUCCCGUAUUAUUAACCCUAUCCGAUGCUUAAUACGGUGUGCCAAACGAGGCACUGCUCUUGUGGUUGAUAAUCCAUUAAAAUCCCGAAUAUUACACGGCCAAGCCCUAAAAGUCCUCCGAAGGUGAACCCUAAAAAUCCUCCCAAGUGGUCUCAUCAGAUCCUAGCCAUGCAUCAUAAGGGACCUGUGACUUCAUUUUCCG